AGUCGAGAAUAAUUCACAAUGGGGGCAACCCUGAUGGUGCAACGCCGCGUGGAGGAUGACGGUCUUCGGAUUGUAAACUCCUGUCAUCUGGGAGUAAGACCUGGACGUUAACAGCGUACAGGGUUGAUAGUACCAGAAGAGGAAGGGACGGCUAACUUCGUGCCAGCAGCCGCGGUAAUACGAAGGUCCCAAGCGUUGUUCGGAAUCACUGGGCGUAAAGGGAGCGUAGGCUGUGUGGUAAGUCAGAUGUGAAAUCCCGGGGCUCAACCCCGGAACUGCAUCCGAUACUGCCGCACUUGAGUAAUGGAGGGGUAGCUGGAAUUCACGGUGUAGCAGUGAAAUGCGUGGAUAUCGUGAGGAACACUCGUGGCGAAAGCGAGCUACUGGACAUUUACUGACGCUGAGGCUCGAAGGCCAGGGUAGCGAA
rnacentral:rRNA from 1 species